UACAGAGGUCUCAAGCGUUGUUCGGAUUCAUUGGGCGUAAAGGGUGCGUAGGUGGCGCCAUAAGUCAGGUGUGAAAUCUCGGGGCUCAACUCCGAAACUGCACUUGAUACUGUGGUGCUCGAGUACUGGAGAGGAGAUUGGAAUUUACGGUGUAGCAGUGAAAUGCGUAGAUAUCGUAAGGAAGACCAGUGGCGGAGGCGAAUCUCUGGACAGUUACUGACACUGAGGCACGAAGGCCAGGGGAGCAAACGGG
rnacentral:rRNA from 1 species